GAUCUCAUGGUGUAAUGGUUAGCACUCUGGACUUUGAAUCCAGCGAUCUGAGUUCAAAUCUCGGUGAGACCU
rnacentral:tRNA from 1 species